AGACUGGAAUGAAUGGAUGUAUGGGGCAGUGCUUUCUUAGGUUAAAAGUUAAAAAUAAAUUUUUUAGUGAAGAAGCUAAAAUUAUAUUGAGGGACGAGAAGACCCUAUUAAGCUUGAUAUAAUUAUUUUGUUGGGGAAACAAAAGAAUAAAAUUUCUUUAAAAAGAUUUUUUGAUAAAUUUUAGGAUUUAUUAUUAAUAAUAAUAGAAUAAGUUACUAUAGGGAUAACAGCAUAAUUUUUUUUAAAAGUUCAUAUUGACAAAAAAGAUUAUGACCUCGAUGUUGGAUUAAAAUUAUUAUAUAAUGUAGAAGUUGUAUAAAUUAGUCUGUUCGACUAUUAAAGUUUUAC
rnacentral:rRNA from 1 species